UACGGAGGGUGCAAGCGUUAUCCGGAUUCACUGGGUUUAAAGGGAGCGUAGGUGGCUUUGUAAGUCAGUGGUGAAAUAUUGCGGCUCAACCGCAAAACUGCCAUUGAUACUGCUUAGCUUGAAUCACGUCGAGGUGGAUGGAAUAAUACAUGUAGCGGUGAAAAUGCUUAGAUAUGUAUUAGAACACCGAUUGCGAAGGCAGUUCACUAGGCGUGUAUUGACACUGAGGCUCGAAAGCGUGGGGAUCAAACAGG
rnacentral:rRNA from 1 species